rnacentral:rRNA from 1 species
UACGUAGGUGGCAAGCGUUGUCCGGAUUUACUGGGCGUAAAGAGCGCGCAGGCGGUCGUUCAAGUCGAGUGUGAAAGCCCCCGGCUCAACUGGGGAGGGUCACUCGAUACUGAUCGACUUGAAGGCGGGAGAGGGAAGCGGAAUUCCCGGUGUAGUGGUGAAAUGCGUAGAUAUCGGGAGGAACACCAGUGGCGAAAGCGGCUCACUGGAUCUUUUCUGACGCUGAUGCACGAAAGCUAGGGGAGCAAACGGG